rnacentral:tRNA from 1 species
AAGUUAUUUAGUUUAUAAUAAAACUAAUAUUUUGAAAAUAUUUAAAAAGAUUUACAUCUUAAUAACU